CACUGCACAGUCCCUGUAUUCUUCAGCUGCAUGAAUUGUGGUAUAAAAUGGUGGAUGCUUGAGAAGGUUUCUGGAGCCCUUAUCAGGCAUGAGGUCACACAGACAGAGAGAGCCACAAGGGUAACAACUUUCAUGGCUCCAGUAAACACAGUAGCUCGGUGUUACCAGGAUAUUUCUCACUUGCUUGCCUUUAACUUGACCUAGGAUACAGAGCUAGAUUUGAAAUCUGAUGGCUGCAGAUGUGCAGAGCUGAAAGACUUCUUUUAUAAACCCACUGCAACCUUCAGUCUGGAGCUGAGUUUCUUCAGAUCCCAUGUUUGGUACAGAGGGAUCCCUGUGGACAUGUUAUUCCUUAUAUAGCUUUUUUGUGUCUCCUAACAGUUUGAAACUCCCUGACUGGAGGUGAGUGAUGUUGCACUAGACCAGGGCAACCUUAUUUCAAGCAGGAACUGUCAGCAGAAUCGGUGCAAGGUCAGCCUCUCCACUUGUUCCUUUCAGGAAACUACUCCUCUUACAGACACCCUUACACUAAACA